ensembl:snoRNA SNORA70 Small nucleolar RNA SNORA70
GUAUUACCAAUUAUGCUGGUCAGGUCCCUUUCCUCAUGAGAACCCAUCGUGCAGUGGUGCCAAGCUGCUGCACCUCUUGGUAAUGUGUGCAGCCUGUUGCUUGUAUGAAAUGCCCCAAGGGACCCUGGGGACAGUU